rnacentral:rRNA from 1 species
ACUUCAUUCAAAUAUCUGCCCUAUCAACUUUCGAUGGUAGGAUAGUGGCCUACCAUGGUUUUAACGGGUAACGGGGAAUAAGGGUUCGAUUCCGGAGAGGGAGCCUGAGAAACGGCUACCACAUCCAAGGAAGGCAGCAGGCGCGCAAAUUACCCAAUCCCGACCGGGGAGGUAGUGACAAUAAAUAACAAUAUAGGGCUCUUUUGGGUCUUAUAAUUGGAAUGAGUACAAUUUAAACCCCUUAACGAGGAACAAUUGGAGGGCAAGUCUGGUGCCAGCAGCCGCGGUAAUUCCAGCUCCAAUAGCGUAUAUUAAAGUUGUUGUGGUUAAAAAGCUCGUAGUUG